UUAUAUGAGAGUUUGAUCCUGGCUCAGGACGAACGCUGGCGGCAUGCCUAAUACAUGCAAGUCGAACGCACG
rnacentral:rRNA from 1 species